GAAUGGGUGGUCCAGUGGUAAAAUUCCUGCCUUCCAUGCAGGAGACUGGGGUUCGAUUCCUGGCCCAUGCA
rnacentral:tRNA from 1 species